GACGAACGCUGGCGGCGUGCUUAACACAUGCCAGUCGAACGGAAAGGCCCUGCUUUUGUGGGGUGCUCGAGUGGCGAACGGGUGAGUAACACGUGAGUAACCUGCCCUUGACUUUGGGAUAACUUCAGGAAACUGGGGCUAAUACCGGAUAGGAGCUCCUGCUGCAUGGUGGUGGUUGGAAAGUUUCGGCGGUUGGGGAUGGACUCGCGGCUUAUCAGCUUGUUGGUGGGGUAGUGGCUUACCAAGGCUUUGACGGGUAGCCGGCCUGAGAGGGUGACCGGCCACAUUGGGACUGAGAUACGGCCCAGACUCCUACGGGAGGCAGCAGUGGGGAAUAUUGCACAAUGGGCGGAAGCCUGAUGCAGCAACGCCGCGUGCGGGAUGACGGCCUUCGGGUUGUAAACCGCUUUCGCCUGUGACGAAGCGUGAGUGACGGUAAUGGGUAAAGAAGCACCGGCUAACUACGUG
rnacentral:rRNA from 1 species